rfam:Ruminococcus sp. CAG:17 genomic scaffold, scf184
GCUGCUGUGGCUCAGUCGGUAGAGCGUCGCCUUGGUAAGGCGGAGGUCACGGGUUCGAUUCCCGUCAGCAGCU